UGGCAGGAAGCAAGAAAAGAAGUCGGGAGAGAAUUUUCGAUCGGUUCCCUUUAGCUUCUCAAAACUUAUCCGAAAUCCUUUCCCGGCUUCUUUUCUUGCUUUCGUUUAAU
rnacentral:pre_miRNA from 1 species